rnacentral:miRNA from 1 species
CGUUUAGUAUAAAUAUGUCCCAAGUAUUGAAUAGGAAUAUACUUACACUAAAA